rnacentral:rRNA from 1 species
AUUGAACGCUGGCGGCAGGCCUAACACAUGCAAGUCGAGCGGCAGCACGGGUACUUGUACCUGGUGGCGAGCGGCGGACGGGUGAGUAAUGCCUAGGAAUCUGCCUGGUAGUGGGGGAUAACGUUCGGAAACGAACGCUAAUACCGCAUACGUCCUACGGGAGAAAGCAGGGGACCUUCGGGCCUUGCGCUAUCAGAUGAGCCUAGGUCGGAUUAGCUAGUUGGUGAGGUAAUGGCUCACCAAGGCGACGAUCCGUAACUGGUCUGAGAGGAUGAUCAGUCACACGUGAACUGAGACACGGUCCAGACUCCUACGGGAGGCAGCAGUGGGGAAUAUUGGACAAUGGGCGAAAGCCUGAUCCAGCCAUGCCGCGUGUGUGAAGAAGGUCUUCGGAUUGUAAAGCACUUUAAGUUGGGAGGAAGGGCAGUUACCUAAUACGUAAUUGUUUUGACGUUACCGGCAGAAUAAGCACCGGCUAACUCUGUGCCAGCAGCCGCGGUAACAC